rnacentral:miRNA from 1 species
UUAGGUUGGUGCAAAAGUAAUUGUGGUUUUUACCACUGAAAGUAGGCAAAAACCACAAUUACUUUUGCACCAACCAAU